rnacentral:rRNA from 1 species
AGUGAACGCUGGCGGUAGGCCUAACACAUGCAAGUCGAACGGCAGCACAGUAAGAGCUUGCUCUUACGGGUGGCGAGUGGCGGACGGGUGAGGAAUACAUCGGAAUCUACUUUUUCGUGGGGGAUAACGUAGGGAAACUUACGCUAAUACCGCAUAUGACCUACGGGUGAAAGCAGUGGAUCUUCGGACCUUGCGCGAUUGAAUGAGCCGAUGUCGGAUUAGCUAGUUGGCGGGGUAAAGGCCCACCAAGGCGACGAUCCGUAGCUGGUCUGAGAGGAUGAUCAGCCACACUGGAACUGAGACACGGUCCAGACUCCUACGGGAGGCAGCAGUGGGGAAUAUUGGACAAUGGGCGAAAGCCUGACCCAGCCAUACCGCGUGGGUGAAGAAGGCCUUCGGGUUGUAAAGCCCUUUUGUUGGGAAAGAAAAGCAGCAGGUUAAUACCCCGCUGUUCUGACGGUACCCAAAGAAUAAGCACCGGCUAACUUCGUG